rnacentral:rRNA from 1 species
CAAUAGCGUAUAUUAAAGUUGUUGCAGUUAAAAAGCUCGUAGUUGAACUUGUGCGUGCCCCUGAUGUCCUUUUUGGUACGUUUGGGGGCGUGCAUCCUUGGGUGGAACCUGUGUGGCAUUAGGUUGUCGUGCAGGGGAUGCUCAUCGUUUACUGUGAAAAAAUUAGAGUGUUCAAAGCAGGCUUAUGCCGUUGAAUAUAUUAGCAUGGAAUAAUAAGAUAGGACCUUGGUACUAUUUUGUUGGUUUGCGCACCGAGGUAAUGAUUAACAGGGACAGUUGGGGGUAUUCGUAUUCCAUUGUCAGAGGUGAAAUUCUUGGAUUUCUGGAAGACGAACUACUGCGAAAGCAUUUACCAAGGAUGUUUNCAUUA